rnacentral:rRNA from 1 species
UGGGGAAUAUUGCACAAUGGGCGCAAGCCUGAUGCAGCAACGCCGCGUGAGUGAUGACGGCCUUCGGGUUGUAAAGCUCUGUCUUCAGGGACGAUAAUGACGGUACCUGAGGAGGAAGCCACGGCUAACUACGUGCCAGCAGCCGCGGUAAUACGUAGGAGGCGAGCGUUGUCCGGAUUUAUUGGGCGGAAAGAGCUCGUAGGCGGUUUAGUAAGUCGGGUGUUAAAACUCUGGGCUCAACCCAGAGCC